AUGAAGCGGAAGACGCGGAACAAGAUCGUGGUGACGGUGCUGCUGCUGGGGGCGGCGGCGGUGCUGAUCGGCGGCACGCUGGCGCUGAUCCUGACGGCGGGCACCUGGAAGGUGAAGCUCAAGGAGUCGCAGGAGAAGGUGUGCAACAAGGGGUGGGAGUGCUCCGGCACCAAGUACUGCUGCAACCAGACCAUCACCGACUUCUUCAAGGUGUACCAGUUCGAGAACCUCUUCGCCAAGCGCAACUUCCCCGUCGCCAAGGCCGUCGGCUUCUGGGACUACCAGGCCUUCAUCACCGCCGCCUCGCUCUUCGAGAACCAGGGCUUCUGCACCACCGGCGGCAUCGACAUGCAGAUGAUGGAGCUCUGCGCCUUCCUCGGACACGUCGGCGCCAAGACCUCAUGUAUGUAUGCUUGUUCUUUUUUCUUCUUCUUCUACUUCUCCGGUGGGGAGGCUCGAUUCCGAUUCCGAUGGACUGCCGGCUUGCUCUGCUUCCUGUUGCCUCCCCUGCUUCGAUUAGAUCCAGGAGACCGACUGAUUGAUCUUCUUGCAGGUGGAUACGGCGUGGCCACCGGCGGUCCGACGGCGUGGGGGCUGUGCUACAACCACGAGAUGAGCCCCGACCAGGGCUACUGCGACGACUCCUACACGCAGUGGCCCUGCGUCAAGGGCGCCGAGUACUACGGCCGCGGCGCCAUCCCCGUCUACUGGAACUUCAACUACGGCGCGGCGGGGGACGGGCUGAAGGUGGACCUGCUGCACCACCCGGAGCUGCUGGAGCAGAACGCGACGCUGGCGUUCGCGGCGGCCAUGUGGCGGUGGAUGACGCCCAUCAAGAAGAAGCAGCCGUCGGCGCACGAGGCCUUCACGGGGGUGUGGAAGCCCACCAAGAACGACACGCUCAGCAAGCGCCUCCCGGGCUUCGGCGCCACCAUGAACCUCCUCUACGGCGAGUCCAUCUGCGGCAGGGGCUUCAUCGACGAGAUGAACGUCAUCAUCUCCCACUACCAGUACUACCUCGACCUCAUGGGCUUCGGCCGGGAGCGGUCCGGCCUCAACCUCGACUGCGCCGAGCAGGCCCCCUUCAACCCCGCCCCCAAGAAGGACGACGAGCAGCAGCCCACCGGAGGCCAGAAGCCGUCGGGCUAG
rnacentral:rRNA from 1 species